GCAAAACUUGCUGAAGGUGAUCUUGGCUCCUCAAGGAAUAAGGACAGAGAAACUACGGUGAAGGUUUCACCAUCUUCUCCUCAUAAAGGAAAAGACCACAACAUUGAAAAUGGAGAAUUGACAGAUAAGGAGGAUCAUCUUUAUUUCUGGUUUCCACUGUUGGCUGGACUAUCUGAACUUAGCUUCGACCCGAGGCCUGAAAUCAGAAAGAGCGCUCUGCAAGUCCUUUUUGAUACCUUGCGCAAUUACGGGCACCAUUUCUCUCUAUCAUUAUGGGAAAGGGUAUUUGAAUCUGUACUAUUUCCUAUCUUUGACUAUGUUCGGCAUACUAUUGACCCUUCAGGUGAAAACUCACCUACUCAUGGAAUUGAUGCUGAAGAGGGUGAGCCUGAUCAAGAUUCAUGGCUUUAUGAGACCUGCACGCUGGCGCUCCAACUGGUUGUAGAUCUCUUUGUUAAAUUUUAUGAUACAGUCAAUCCACUUCUGAAGAAAGUGCUGUUCUUAUUGGUGAAUUUUGUCAAGCGUCCGCAUCAGAGUCUUGCUGGUAUUGGCAUUGCUGCAUUUGUCCGUCUUAUGAGCAAUGCUGGGAGUCUUUUCUCUGAAGAUAAAUGGCUUGAAGUGGUUUUGUCCAUUAAAGAAGCGGCUAAUGCAACUAUUCCCGACUUCUCUUUUCUUCUUAAUGAAAAUAACAAUUAUUGGUCCCAGGAAGAAGAUAUGACUGGGAAUGGCAAUGCAGAAACCACUGGUACAGAUACUCCAGAUGAGGACUUGGAUAAUUUGAGGAGGCACCGUCUGUAUGAUGCUAUUGCUGAUGUGAAGUGUAGGGCUGCUGUUCAGCUAUUAUUAAUUCAGGCUGUGAUGGAGAUCUACAACAUGUACAGACCUCAGCUGUCUAGCAAAAACAUCAUUGUCCUCUUUGAUGCCAUGCAUGGUGUGGCAUCGCAUGCUCAUAAAAUAAACAGUGACACGACACUGCGGUCAAAGCUGCUAGAGUUCAGUUCCAUGACCCAAAUGCAAGACCCUCCGUUAUUACGGCUUGAGAAUGAGGCUUAUCAAAUUUGUCUCUCAUUUUUACAAAAUCUUGUGUUAGAUAAACCUACUGGUUUUGAAGAUUCUGAUGUGGAAACUUACCUCGUCAACCUUUGCAGCGAGGUCUUACACUUCUAUAUUGAAAUCGCACAUUCAGGACAAAUGUCUGAGUCAUCUCUUGGUGCACAGCUUCGUUGGUUAAUUCCCCUGGGUUCUGGCAGAAGGAGAGAGUUGGCUGCACGUGCACCUCUUAUCAUUGCAACUCUCCAGGCAAUAUGUAGUUUAGGAGAUGCAUCAUUUGAGAAAAACUUGUCAGGCUUCUUCCCAUUACUUUCAAGCUUGAUAAGUUGUGAGCAUGGUUCAAAUGAGAUUCAGUUAGCCCUGAGUGAUAUGCUCAGUUCAUCCGUGGGUCCUGUUUUGCUUCGAUCAUGUUGAGCUUAGGGUACUCGUUAUUUCUUUUGCUUUAUAUGGUAUAUUUCUUGUAUUUUUGCCAAUUUUCCUAUCAUCUAAUAUUGCAGAAAGAUAGUUUCGGUGCUUCAAAAACUAGUGAUUGUUUAUAUGCCCAGGCAUUUAGAACCUUCUGCAGUAUAUUGAGGGGCUUAGCUCUUUGUAGAGUCAUUAGAUGUUAGCAGGAGUUCUGAUGUUGUAUGUGUAGCAUUUUCCUCUUUAAUAUACGAGCAAUUUCA
rnacentral:misc_RNA from 1 species